UUUACCCGAAGGUGGUGCGCUAACCUAGCAAUAGGAGGCAGCCAACCACGGUAGGGUCAGCGACUGGGGUGAAGUCGUAACAAGGUAGCYGUAGGUGAACCUGCAGAAGGAUCA
rnacentral:rRNA from 1 species